CAAUAGCGUAUAUUAAAGUUGUUGCAGUUAAAAAGCUCGUAGUUGGAUUUCUGGUCGAAGCGACCGGUCGGGCGUUGAUUCGUCUGCACUGGAGUCGGUUUUGGCCAUCCUCUAGGAAAGUGCGUCUGGUAUUAAGUUAUCGGGCGUAUGAUCCUGGUCCUUUACUGUGAAAAAAUUAGAGUGUUUAAAGCAGGCCUUCGCCUUGAAUACAUUAGCAUGGAAUAAUAAGAUAGGACUUUGGUCUACUUUGUUGGUUUGCAGACCGAAGUAAUGAUUAAUAGGGAUAGUUGGGGGUAUUUAUAUUCCGAUGUCAGAGGUGAAAUUCUUAGAUUUUCGGAAGAUAAACUUAUGCGAAAGCAUUUACCAAGGAUGUUUUCAUUAA
rnacentral:rRNA from 1 species